ACUAAAGUUAACAGUUACUGACUAAACGUAAGAUGUGCAGACUAAAGGUAAGAGUUGCAGACUAAAGGUAAGUGUUGCAGACUAAAGGUAAGAGUUGUAGACUAAAGGUAAGAGUUUUAGACUAAAGGUAAGAGUUGUAGACUAAAAGUAAAAGUUAUAGACUAAAGGUAAGAGUUAUAGACUAAAGUUAACAGUUACUGACCAAAGGAAAGAAUCGUAGACCUAAGGUUAGAGUCAUAGACUAAAAAUAAGAGUCGUAGACUAAAGGGAAGAUUCGUAGACUAAAGGUCAGAGUCGCAGACUAAAGGUAAGAGUUACUGACUAAAAAUAAGAGUCAUAGACUAAAGGGAAGAUUCGUAGACUAAAGGUCAGAGUCGCAGACUAAAGGUAAGAGUUAUUGACUAAAAAUAAGAGUCGUAGACUAAAGGUAAGAUUCGUAGACUAAAGGUAAGAGUUGUAGACUAAAGGUAAGAGUUGCAGACUAAAGGUAAGAGUUAUAGACUAAAGUUAACAGUUAUAGACUAAAGGUUAGCGUUGUAGACUAAAGGUAAGUGUUGCAGACUAAAGGUAAGAGUUGUAGAGUACAGGUAAGUCCUGUGAAAUACAGGUACGGUUUGAGUACAGGUAAGAGUUGCAGACUAAAGGUAAGUGUUUUAGACUAAAGGUAAGAGUUGUAGACUAAAGGAAAGAGUUAUAGACUAAAUUUAACAGUUACUGACUAAAGGUAAGAGGUGCAGACUAAAGGUAAGAGUUGUAGACUAAAGGUAAGUGUUGCAGAUUAAAGGUAAGAGUUGUAGAGUACAGGUAAGUCCUGUGAAAUACAGGUACGGUUUGUAGAGUAAAGGUAAGAGUUGUAGAGUAAAGGCAAGAGUCACAGACUAAAGGUAAGAGUCGUAGACUGAAGGUACAAAUCGAAGACUAAAGGUAAGAGUCCUAGACUAAAGGUAAGAGUCGUAGACUAAAGGUAAGAGUCGUAGACUAAAGGUAAGAAUUGUAGACUAAAGGUAAGAAUCGUAGACUAAAGGUAAGAUUUAUUGACUAAAAAUAAGAGUCGUAGACUAAAGGGAAGAUUCGUAGACUAAAGGUCAGAUUCGCAGACUAAAGGUAAGAGUUAUUGACUAAAAAUAAGAGUCGUAGACUAAAGGUAAGAUUCGUAGCCUAAAGUUAAGAGUUGUA
ensembl:lncRNA